CGCUCAAAAACUCGAAACAGAGAAGGCGCUGGUGGCAGCAACAAUUGCUGAAAAUGGCAGGAGAAAUUGAAAUAUUCAAAAUGGAGAAAAGCCAGGAUGCAAUGAAAAUCGAGGAGCUGAAGAGGAGCCUUGCCCACCUACAAAACCAUCUGGCUGAACCCUCAAUCCUGAAGCCCCCAGCAGGACACUCUGACUUGGAGAAAAACCUAAAAACUGAAACCAAGUACCUGAG